rnacentral:misc_RNA from 1 species
CAAAUUCUGCUUAACCCUAAGCAAAUUUGUGCUUGACCCUAAGCAACACCAGAAUCGUUAGUUCAGCAAUUGCUGCAUGCUUUCCUUAAGCUGUACCCUAUGCAAAUUCUGCUUAACCCUAUGCAUUACCCAAAAUCUUUAAUUUCAGCAAUUGCUACAUGCUUAACCUAAGCAACUACCCUAUGUAAGUCAUGCUUAACCUUAAGUAAUUUUGUGCUUACCCCAGCAAAAUGCCUUGUGCCACUAGUAGACCCACCAGCAGCAAGCUGAACAACAGUAAAGCUUUGACAGCAGAGCUUGAAUAGUAGCAGC